rnacentral:lncRNA from 10 species
CAUCUAUUCUUUAUAGUCUGUUUCUGCACACACUACAUGCUAAAAGGAAUAUUAGUUCUGCAACUGCAUCAGGCAUGAGCUUGGGAAACGGGCUUAUGUGUAUUCUAAGGCCAAGGGCUGGGGAGAGUUAAAAGCCUUAGAUGGGAAUGACAAGGAGAUGACAGCUGGCCCCAACAGUCUCUUCCCCUGCCACAGAGACAUGCUGAUGAGGAACAGAAAGGAGAAGACCCCAACUGACAAGCCCAGCACGUUCCCACCAGGAAGCAAACACCAGAUGCUACAUUUCCCCAUCAGUUUCAUGGCAAC